GAAAGAAAGUCUUAUCUUUUGGCCCAGAAGGAGCCUCUUGGAACUAAGCUUGUUAACGUUAGGAGAGGAUGUUGAGCACCAAAAAACUAAAAAAGAGUGAGCCUGCAAGGGUUUCUUUGAUCUCUGUUUCAAGUCCACAGUGGUCGGAAGCUUAAGAGAGAGAGGGGUUUUCUGUUUCUUUCGCUGCUGCAUCGUCAACUUAGAAACUGGAGUCAUAUUACAGCGAUGGGAAACGCAGGGAGUUCUUGGUGACCAAGUGAUGGAGGAAGAGAACACUCAGGCCUAAUCUGCACAUGGUUCUUCACUACAGGUAGACACUACUCAAAAGGGCACAGCUAAGACCAAAAUGGACAGAGGAUGCACAAAAUCCCCACUCUGAGGUGGUGUUGAAGAACAAGGGUGAAGGGAAACCCUCCACAUACACAGAAUUUUGAGCACUGCACCUGGUUGUCCAUUUUGCUUGGAAGGAGAGAUAUAUAGAAGUACAAGUCUAUACUGAUUCGUGGGUCAUGGCUAACACUUGGCUGGAAAGUCAGGAGAUUUGAAAGGAAUGUGAUUGAAAAAUUGGUGACAAAGAGAUCUGGAAGGGAAGGUUGACAGAUCUCUUCAAAUGGGUACGGCAUGUGUAGGUAUUUAUGCUCUAUGAAAAUGCUCUCCAAAGGGUGAACUCAACAGAGGAGUAUUUGAAUAAUCAAGUGGAAAGGAUAAGCCUUUCUGUGGACAUGAGUCAGCCUGGUUCUCCAGCAAUUCCUGUCAUUUCCCAAGUGGCUCGUGAAUAAAUUGAAAACGGAGGCCAAGAUGAAAGUUACGCAGGGACACGGCAACAUAGAUGUCUACUUCCCAGGGCCCACCUGGCUAUGGCCACAGCAGAGAGCCCAGUCUGCUAACAGCAGAGGUCAAUGGUGAACACCUGACACAGCACCAUUCCCAGCUACUGACUAGCCACCUAUUGGCAGGGUGACUAUUACAUUAAAUCACUUCUCUCGUUGAAGGAGCAGUGCUUUGUUCUUAUUGGAAUAGACAUUGACUUUGGAAACACACUUGCUUUCCCUGCCCACAAUUGCUUCGCCAAAACCACUACGAAAACCAUACACAGAAUGAUUUAUUCACUAUCACGAUAUUUCACACAGCAUCACUUCUGAUCAAGAAACUUACUUCCCAGCAAAUGAAGUGCAGCAAUUGCUUCAUAUUGUUCACAGGUCUUAUCAUGUUCAUCAUCACCCCAAAGUAGCUGGCUUGACAGAAUGAUGGAAUAACGUUUUGAAGACUCAGUUAUGUCCCUAUGACAUUAGGUUCUACUGGACUGGAGGUCUUAGUUCCAAAGGGAAGAGUGUGUCCACCAGGGCACCCACUGAUGACUCUGUUGAACUGGAGUGCCGCCUUUAACUCAUGCCAUUGAAUCAACAGGCAAAGAAGGGAGUGAUUGAACCUGAUUGGCUUCUACACAAAGAGCAGCUGGGCCUGUAACUGCUCUGCCUCCCCCUGGAUUCUCCUCCAGCUCCUCCAACUCCUGGGCCAGGGUGGGCGGUCAGCAUGCCCGAAGCGUGUCGAAGUUCCUGGACCAGGAACUAAACCCAUGCCACAAGAGUGACCCUAGCCAUUGCACUGACAAUGCCAUAUCCUUAACCCUCUGCGUGACAAGAGAAUUCCGGAAAGGUUAAAUUCUGAAUGAACAGCCUUUUGUUUAAGUGUAGGUCAAUCACGAGCCUUUAGAUGCAGUGUGACUGGGCAUAAUUCAGAGAAAGAAGAGUCCAGGCAGUCAGAUGUGAUACGUUGGGAGCACUUCCUGAGGGCAGGAGAAUCUAGAGAUAGCAACAUUACAUCAGCCUCACUGUUACGUGGAGGAGCAUAAGCGUCUUUGGAAAGGGCUUUGAAAGGCUGGCCUCUGCAUAAAACAGAAAUCUUGGCUAGUGGAGCAGGGCUGGACCGCGCCUUCUCCAAAUGUCGUGCAGGAGACUAGAGGGAAUCGACAUUACCUAUUGAAUUUUGAGAGCAGCUUCUUCUGAGAGAAACAUGGAAUGGUAUCAGUCUGAAUAAAGGAAAUUCAUGGUCACCGUUUUUCCUCAGCAUGUCGUACUCCCAGUUAUAUAGUUCUUAUAUGUAUGAACCACUCAGCAAGCCUUUGAAAAGAGAAAGAGGAAAGAGAAGAAAAUUCUAAUUCAACUCUCCAUAUAGCUAAACAGCUAUCCAACAGACCUAGGUGAAGUCUUCGGCUUUCUGAUUUCCCCGAAGCCAGUGCGCUGGGUCAUGGGGCUGGCUGACCUCCCAGCACCACCUACCUCCUCUCUAUGAGAUGCCAUCAGAUCCCACCCAAAGGAGCCAGUCGUCCCUGUGAAACAAUAAGCAAUUCUUACGAGAUACAAGUGGAGCUCUGUUACUGUGGCACAGGAAGGCUCGAUAAGAUCUUCCAGCCACAGCAUUCUUUUGUGUCAGCAGACGCAAGUGGGAUGUUCCUUCUGCAGCUCUUACGGAGCAAGAGGAAGCAGGCUUUGAAACACAAUGUUCAUUGAAAUCGGCUUUCAUCUAAGGAAUCCCGUGGUGGCUCCUGGUCCACGCGAUGUGCAUUCUGUCUGCAGCUGGGCUCUCCUGAUGCAUUUCCGUUGUUUGUUCUAGGGGGAAGGCAGCACCUUUAUGAGACUCACUCUUACUAGGUAAAGGGCAUCACAUUGUGCUAGGCAGAGCAUUCUGUGUCAGGAUGUCUCCAGUGAGUCUGGAGCCUAGAAGGAACAUUUAAAAAAAAAAAAAAAAAACAAUCCUCAGCCAUCCUGGCUCACGGAUGAAGCACCAGCUCUGUCAGGAGAGGAACAUGAAGCCGCCCAGAUGACUCUUGGGCAGUACAUGCAUGCUUCGUGAUUUUAGGAGAAGGAAAUGUUUGUUGCUUUAGCUAUUACAGCAGGCACGAUGCCACAGGCCAUAAAUAGUGGUAAGUAACUAUGGUUUGAGUGCUGCGGGCCCAAAAGAACCUUCCCCAAAGCCAAUUGGUCUCUAUUAUUCCACUCUGGCUCUCAAAGGACAAAAAAUGAAGAGGAGGAAGUGAUCCACAGUGUCAAAUCAUAGAAACCAACAGGACAUCUACAAAGGCCUGGGUCAUGGCUGCAAUUCUCUGCACCUAAGAAUAAAUGAGAAAGAAAUAAGAACACAAUAAAAGAAAGAGAAGUGGAGGAUCAAACUCUGCAGGUUAUGUGUAGCAUAUUUUUAGUGACCUCGAAUUAUGGGAUUAAAAAUGGAAUGAAAAAGAGGUGAUUUUGAAGGUAGAUGAUUGAAUACAAUCUCUUGAACUUGCUCUAUGGGAAGUAACAAAAGCAGAGAUGACAUAAAUUCAUGUAUAUUUAGAAAAUCAGGAACAAGGAAGAAUAUUGGGACCAUUCUUUGGGUGGGGAACUGAUAGAAACUACUAUUAUUAAAAUAAUUAAAAUAAUAAGGCAAGAAAGACCUUCAUUAAAACAGUAAAUAGGAGGGUCCACAAUCCCUGGGAGAGAAGGGGCUUGAGGGCCCCUCAGUGUCUCACCUCCCCUUCCAUUCUUCCCAAACCUCAUCUCUUAAUCACUUUGCAAAAUCAAGAAGCAGACAGCUCUGGAGCAGCCAGGGGCAACUACAUAAUUUGUAGGGAUCAGGACAAAACGAAAAUGUAGAAGCGUUUAUACAAAAAGCAGAAGACAAUGUGCUAUCUGAGGUAUUAGACACAAAGCUUUCUUUCCUUUCUUUCACAGCCUCUCCCUAGACUUGUCAUGGUAUUUUAUUAAUCUUGUAAUGUAAUGCCAUUAUAAAUGAAGAAAAUAUAAACAUUUAAAUUCUUUUCGUUCAUCUUUAAAUUGUGUAUGCCAUCUAAAAUACAAGUAUAAAAGCACUUAAA